rnacentral:lncRNA from 1 species
GCCAUGGCCACGGCGCAGCAGGCCUCCGGCGUGCGCGCCACCUACAACUUCUACAACCCGCAGCAGAACAACUGGGACCUCAACGCCGUGAGCGCGUACUGCGCGACGUGGGACGCCAGCAAGCCGCUGUCGUGGCGCAUGAAGUACGGCUGGACGGCCUUCUGCGGGCCCGCCGGCCCCACCGGCCAGGCCGCGUGCGGGCAGUGUCUUCUGGUGAGCUCAAGCUAGCUGAUGAAAUGAAACCAUGCAUGAGUGAUGAGACCCGUGCUCGAUCGGGGUUAAUAAUGGUGUACUGAUGCAUGAUGCAGGUGACUAACACUGCGACGGGGGCGUCCAUCACGGUGAGGAUCGUGGACCAGUGCAGCAACGGCGGCCUGGACCUGGACUACGACACGGCGUUCAAGCCCAUCGACACCAACGGCCAGGGCUUCCAGGCCGGCCACCUCACAGUCAACUACCAGUUCGUCAACUGCGGCGACAACUGAACUGAUAGAUUAUUCACCUGUGCAUGCACCUAUA